rnacentral:rRNA from 1 species
GACGAACGCUGGCGGCGUGCUUAACACAUGCAAGUCGAACGAAGAGCGAUGGAAGCUUGCUUCUAUCAAUCUUAGUGGCGAACGGGUGAGUAACGCGUAAUCAACCUGCCCUUCAGAGGGGGACAACAGUUGGAAACGACUGCUGAUACCGCAUACGAUCUAAACUCGGCAUCGAGGAUAGAUGAAAGGUGGCCGCUACAUGUAAGCUAUCACUGAAGGAGGGGAUUGCGUCUGAUUAGCUAGCUGGAGGGGUAACGGCCCACCAAGGCGCUGAUCAGUAGCCGGUCUGAGAGGAGGAACGGCCACAUUGGGACUGAGACACGGCCCAGACUCCUACGGGAGGCAGCAGUGGGGAAUCUUCCGCAAUGGACGAAAGUCUGGAGGAGCAACGCCGCGUGAGUGAUGACGGCCUUCGGGUUGUAAAGCUCUGUUAAUCGGGACGAAAGGCCUUCUUGCGAAUAGUGAGAAGGAUUGACGGUACCGGAAUAGAAAGCCACGGCUAACUACGUG